UUACAGCCAUAUCACGUUGAAAUACCGGUUCUCGUAAGAUCACCGAAGUUAAGCAACGUCGAGCCUGGUUAGUACCUGGAUGGGUGAGAACUUGGGAAUAG